rnacentral:rRNA from 1 species
AUACGUAGGGGGCGAGCGUUGUCCGGAAUGAUUGGGCGUAAAGGGCGCGUAGGCGGCCCGGUAAGUCUGGAGUGAAAGUCCUGUUUUUAAGAUGGGAAUUGCUUUGGAUACUGUCGGGCUUGAGUGCAGGAGAGGUAAGUGGAAUUCCCAGUGUAGCGGUGAAAUGCGUAGAGAUUGGGAGGAACACCAGUGGCGAAGGCGACUUACUGGACUGUAACUGACGCUGAGGCGCGAAAGUGUGGGGAGCAAACAGGAUUAGAUACCCUGGUAGUCCACACUGUAAACGAUGAAUGCUAGGUGUAGGGGGUAUCGACCCCUUCUGUGCCGCAGUCAACACAAUAAGCAUUCCGCCUGGGAGUACGGCCGCAAGGUUGAAACUCAAAGGAAUUGGCGGGG